UACAUGUGGGGCAAGCGUUGUUCGGAACUACUGGGCAUAAAGGGUGCGUAGGCGGCUUGUUAAGUCAGGGGUGAAAGUUUUCGGCCCAACCGGAAAAUUGCCUUUGAUACUGGCGAGCUGGAGUGCGUGAGGGGUGACCGGAACGAGUGGUGUAGCGGUGAAAUGCGUAGAUAUCACUCGGAAGGCCAACGGCGAAGGUAGGUCACUGGUGCGCAACUGACGCUGAGGCACGAAAGCGUGGGGAGCAAACAGG
rnacentral:rRNA from 1 species